rnacentral:rRNA from 1 species
CGGACGGGUGAGUAACGCGUGGAAAACCUGCCGUAUACUGGGGGAUAACACUUAGAAAUAGGUGCUAAUACCGCAUAAGCGCACAGCUUCGCAUGAAGCCGGUGUGAAAAACUCUGGUGGUAUACGAUGGUUCCGCGUCUGAUUAGCUAGUUGGUGGGGUAAUGGCCUACCAAGGCAACGAUCAGUAGCCGGCCUGAGAGGGUGAACGGCCCACAUUGGGACUGAGACACGGCCCAAACUCCUACGGGAGGCAGCAG